AAGUCGUAACAAGGUCUCCGUAGGUGAACCUGCGGAGGGAUCAUUAACACGUUCCAAACCAAUUAUCAACCCAACUGUGAACUCCUUGUCUCUGCCUACUGUCGUAGUCAGUGUUGUGGUGCGUGCUGAGAUCCUGGAUGAAGGUGAAGAGAUGUUGACCGAGUCUCGCAGGAGACUCCAGUCCUCUCUUCAUACGGGUCGAGCUGCGCUUCAUGAGCUCUCGAAUUCGUUCGGGAGGUCAGCCAUCCUGACUAUGACGAGGCCCAACACAUAUACGAGCAGCGAUGGGGUCAUCCACUGCCGCUCGCAUAUCCACACGACCCUUGCUGCAAGUGGGCUAUACUCUCCCCUUCUAGCAUUGAAGAUUCAAUCAUUGAUACAACACAUGGUCGUCUCUUGCAGAUGUGCCUUGUGGUCCUGACCCUCUUUACAGAGGCGCUCAGUGUAACCAAUAUGAUA
rnacentral:misc_RNA from 1 species